rnacentral:rRNA from 1 species
UACGUAGGGUGCGAGCGUUGUCCGGAAUUACUGGGCGUAAAGAGCUCGUAGGUGGUUUGUCGCGUUGUUCGUGAAAACUCACAGCUCAACUGUGGGCGUGCGGGCGAUACGGGCAGACUGGAGUACUGCAGGGGAGACUGGAAUUCCUGGUGUAGCGGUGGGAUGCGCAGAUAUCAGGAGGAACACCGGUGGCGAAGGCGGGUCUCUGGGCAGUAACUGACGCUGAGGAGCGAAAGCGUGGGGAGCGAACAGG